UAGGAAGUGGUGUAUUGGAAGCACUAGGAGUUUUGAUCUCCUCAGGUCGGGUUCGAACCCCUUCUUUCUAG
rnacentral:tRNA from 1 species